GACGAACGCUGGCGGCGUGCUUAACACAUGCAAGUCGUGCGGUAAGGCCCUUUCGGGGGUACACGAGCGGCGAACGGGUGCGUAACACGUGAGCAACCUGCCCUUCACUUUGGGAUAACUGCCGGAAACGGUGGCUAAUACCGGAUAUGACUUCCUCACGCAUGUGGGGUGGUGGAAAGCCUUCGGGUGGUGGGGGAUGGGCUCGCGGUCUAUCAGCUUGUUGGUGGGGUGAUGGCCUACCAAGGCUUCGACGGGUAGCCGGCCUGAGAGGGUGACCGGCCACACUGGGACUGGGACACGGCCCAGACUCCUACGGGAGGCAGCAGUGGGGAAUAUUGGACAAUGGGCGAAGGCCUGAUCCAGCAACGCCGCGUGAGGGAUGACGGCCUUCGGGUUGUAAACCUCUUUCGCCUGCGACGAAGCGAGAGUGACGGUAGCAGGUAAAGAAGCACCGGCCAACUACGUG
rnacentral:rRNA from 1 species